GCUAUUUCAACUGAACUCAAGAAGUAUUUCUCGAGCACACACUAUAUCAGAAGGGCUACAGAGGUAAAUGAGACAGUCCUGGCUCGGGGGACCACACCGUAGGGAAGAGAGCACCUUUCCCGGGUUGGUGAAGAUGCAGAUCUGAAUGUUUAGGGGAUGGACCCAGAGUCUCAGGAGACCUUCCUUGCGUUUUGCUGACUGACCUCGACCUCCUGUCAUUGUUCGCAGGAAGCAGGACCACAGGAUCAUAGGUCUUCAUAUUGUGAGGAACUGUACUCGAGGAGCUGUUCUCUAGGACACCUGAGGAGUCUCCUCCACACUUGUACAUGAUUUAGUACCAAGAUCAUGGACUUCAAGCUGAUGCUCUAAGAGAAUAAGACAUUGGGGAAGUCUUUGGUAGGGGAGCUGUGGAACAUCUAAAACACCCGCCACCGAUCUUUAAGUUAUCCAGUGUGGCCGUAAUGAAUUCAUCUAUGAGUCCAUGAAACCCGGCGCUCCCGCCAGGACCAGGUCUAUAACGAUCAUCCUGAGUUUCCUCUUCAUUGUUACCGCCCGUCUUGUCAUCACUGUCAGCACCCAUUACAUUUGCCAAGCACUGAACAGUGUGAGCUGUUUUCCUUGGAGCUGGAGACGAGGGGUGCAGUGGGACUUGACAAGGAGACGUUGGGGGAUCACAUGCUCCCCAACAUACUUUGUCACGGCUACUUAGAAUCAACGUCAUUCAGAGCAUCAA